UUUUUUUUUUUUUCCUUCGGUUUCCUUUCUGUGUUUUUAUUUUUUUUCUUCUUCUUCUUCUUUCUUUUUUUUUUCCUUCUCCUCUUUCUCUCUCUCUCUCUCUCUCUCUAUUAACUUUAUAAUAAUUAAUAUAUAAAGAUCUUUAUAGAAAAUUGUUUCUGUUUCCAUACUUGAUCGAUUAUUAUAUUUCUGCACUGAAUUACUGUUUAUCUGUGUACAGAUUUAGCUGAUUUGAUUUGUGUUUUUACUUUUAAUCAACUGAAUAACUGCAUGUUAAUUAAUUUACCUUUUUCAAUUGCUCGCGCUGUUGUAAUUGAAGUUCCAGGGAGUUGAGUAUAUAUAUAUGUGUGUGUGUGUGUGUGUGGAGGAUGGUUUUCAUUUGGUCGCGUAUGUUUCUUUGAUAUUAGUUCUCCAUUUAUUAGGGCCUGGCCGUGGAUAAAUUAUUUUUUUGGGGCAGCAUAUACAUACUUACUCCCAGUCCCACUGCUUCUUCGUGUUAAUUAAUUCCGUUGUGAUUGAAAUUGUGCUCGGGAUAACAUUUGUAUUUCACAUUAUUGUUCCAAAAACUUUAACUGUUGUAUUGGUGUGCCCAAAAGCUUCCCUUAAUUGAAAAAUUGUUGAUUUCCUUCUACUUAAGGCAUGCAUCUACUUGGAAGAUACAGUUCACCCUUUUGAUUUAUCCCUUCAAGUCUUGUCACUUGUUGCAUGUAUCCGUUGUUGGUGCUUCGUAAUUUUUUAUUUUCCACAACUCCUGCACUUGAGAUGAUGCUUCCUAGACAAAUGACUGAAGUUUUGCUUAGCUUCGUAGAUUUUGAAUAGGCCUUUACUGUAGACUGAACUCCACAGUGCCCCCUUCUGCCAAAGUGAUGUGCUUUGACAGUUUGGAUAACCAAUUAACCUUGAUCG
rnacentral:lncRNA from 1 species